AAAUUGCAAGGCAGUGUCAGGAAUCAAACAGUUUAGAUGCCUUGUCUUUGCUUCCGCAUUUUGCAGACAUGCCUAACAUGCAAGCACAAAGGGUGGAAUUUGGACCUUACACCAGGUGUAGAAGACUUGUCUCAUAAUGGAACUGCAAAGCCCUUUCUUGCAACUUUCAAUGCCACGUAUCAUUCAUGUUGCAACAACUAGAAUGAAUUUCAAAAUCAGCUCCUCAAGUAUGUCUAAUGCACACAUACGUUUUUUCUCUUAUUUCCCUUUUCCUUGCUUGGGUAUUUAUGUUCUGAUGUUUAUUAAUGGUGAAUGGGUUAGAUUUUUGCAGUCAUUAAACCUACUACAUGGCAUGAUUAGCCUACAAAUGUGAACAAUUCUACAAAACAUUUACACAGAUGCCCUGGAUCAAGAUACAGAAGAUAUAAAUAUGGUUGGGGCUGUGAAGACAAACAAGUCACGAACCGAGUCAGGGUCAACUCAAGAAAGCUUGACAUAGCUAAUUUUAAAACAAAGUUUAAGAGGGAAACAAGACCUUAUGUGGAAGUAAGCUACACAAAUCAGGAAUGCAUGUUUUAAGCCGCAGACAAAAUCCUAUAAGGAAAAGUUGAAUAUUUAUUGUUGCUGGGGGUUGGAUUGCAUUUAGGUUUGUGGGUCAUUCUCUCAAGUUGUAUCAGCUUCAGAGUUCUCUCUUAGAGCCCAUGAAAGAUUUUGGUGGAUAAUCUUGACUCUUUAAAUUCACUUUUAUUGGGACUGUUACAACACUGGAACUGCUUUUUGUGUGUAAAGAUUUAUGCUCUUCCCUGCCAAUAUGAAAUCUUCUCUUAGGACACUAUUAGUAUUAUUCAUGAGGGUUUGAUGUUGAAUGGAAUGAAGUAAGGUGGGAAUCCAUCAUGCAACAAACCUGUAUAAUUUUUCUGUCAAGAACAUUCUUAUUGCAUUUU